rnacentral:lncRNA from 1 species
GCCAGGGGAGCAAACAUGACUGAAUAAGGCAUCAAAGAUAAUCACAUCACAUAGCAAUAGCAUAGUGGGCUCAAAUAAUGGAGUAUUAUUACAUCUCUUGUUCUUUUGACAAGAAUGGGCAAACAUCAUGGAUGGAUUCAGCGGGUAUAUGGCAUAAAAGGGCAUAUUACAUUGCAGGUCACCAGCAUGGGCGAACCAAGCAGCAGGCAUUUCAAGAAGUGCGACAGCCUAGGGCCCAUCUCAAAUAAGCUUUGACGACUGUCUCUUCGUCCACAUGAGACGAAGGUGAUGAGUGGUCACUACCACAAGAAACAAAGUGAUCCCCUUCGCCACCACCUGCAUACAGUUGGGAAACCUCUACGAAGAGUUUGAUGCCAUGCUUACCAUGCUCUGAAUAGUGACAUGAGAGAGAAGUCCUUCACCUUUUGCCAUGGCAUAGGGCCGGCUCUUGUGCAUGCAGAAGCAUAUGUAUCACCAUGGCAAGGCUGAAUACAUUUUGCCAUGACAUAGGGCCAGCUCCUCCAUGAGAAGCAUAUGUAUCACCACUGGACCUUGACAAGGCUGAAUACCUUUUGCCAUGACAUAGGGCCAGCUCCUGCAUGAGAAGCAUAUGUAUCAUGAACUCUGAAAAAUCUUUGAUAUUCAAGCCUAAUGAUAUUAAGGGUACACUUAAGAGUUUUCCUGGAGUGGGUGGGNNNNNNNNNNNNNNNNNNNNNNNNNNNNNNNNNNNNNNNNNNNNNNNNNNNNNNNNNNNNNNNNNNNNNNNNNNNNNNNNNNNNNNNNNNNNNNNNNNNNNNNNNNNNNNNNNNNNNNNNNNNNNNNNNNNNNNNNNNNNNNNNNNNNNNNNNNNNNNNNNNNNNNNNNNNNNNNNNNNNNNNNNNNNNNNNNNNNNNNNNNNNNNNNNNNNNNNNNNNNNNNNNNNNNNNNNNNNNNNNNNNNNNNNNNNNNNNNNNNNNNNNNNNNNNNNNNNNNNNNNNNNNNNNNNNNNNNNNNNNNNNNNNNNNNNNNNNAGGUAGUGCAAAUGAUGAUAAACUUCAACCCAUCAGCACUUGCCGAACCCACAGCUCUGGGCCAUGGCGAUAAGUGUGGCGGCACAGGGCCCACCUAUGAUCUGUGUACAUACAGUAGUGCGUAUAGCUAUAUCUUCUCAGUUCAAAGGUUGAAUUUUGGCAGUCAAAAUAUGCCCCUUUGGCCCCCAUGAAGCUCCGCCACUGUAUGUCUGCACCUUGCAGGUAGUGCAAAUGAUGAUAAACUUCAACCCAUCAGCACUUGCCGAACCCACAGCUCUGGGCCAUGGCGAUACACACGGCCCACCCAAAAAUAGGAGCCUAUGAGCUGUGUACAUACAGUAGUGCGUCGUCUCAGUUCCAAGGUUGAAUUUUACGGUGAAAGCUUGAAUUUUGGCAGUCAAAAUACGCCUCAUACAUUAUUGGGAUGGAGGGCUUCAACUAAUAUAAGAUGUUAUAGAUCACUAAAGUAGUGACCUAAAAAGUCUUAUAUUCAGAGAGGGAGUAUCGAUCCGAUGAAAAAUGAUUAUCUGAUAAAUAGUUUUACUUUGGAAGUUGGGUAUCCUCCCUGGCCGUAAGGUAGCUCCGACAGUAAUUUUCAAAGAACUACAUGUUCCCUUUGCAAACUUAUAAAGGACUUGUAUGCAAUUUAGUAUGGUAAACUUUCUGGGGUAGCAGGGAGAGAAAUGGGGCUUGAGGUCCAGUGUUUGCACCUUGGAGUAAAUUACCUACACCUUGCAAGUGGUUGCAGUGAUGAGUGAUGAUAGGUUCUCCCCACCAGCAGGGGUGGGCCCAGUAUUAGUGGAAGAGCCAUGAUAAAUAUUUGAUGGGGUUGGGGUGGAGGUGAGGGACAUGCAAUCAAAAAACACUGAAGUAGAUUAAGAGCCAUUUUACUCUUGGAGGCCAGUCGUAGAGACAGCUGCCACUACACCACCUUUAGAAAUUUGGGUGGAGAAAAACAUCUUCCGUUCACGAUCGCCAGAGUACACGCAAUGAUUGCGAGCGGCAAAGCGUGGUGGAAGCGUCUCUCGCCGCGCCGCCGGCACGAGAUCACAAACAUCGUCCACGACUGGCAGGCCUGGCGUGUGGAACACAUAGAGGCUGGUCUGCCUUCGAGCUUGCCGGAGGAGAGCUUGGAGGACCGGACGAUGGAGGAGGCGUCCGACAACGAGCCAGAGCCCCCCCCCCCCUCUCCCGCCAAAGUUGCGGGCUUCGCCUUCGCACAGGCGCAGUACAACGCGGCCAUGGCGGAGGACGAGCGGUCGGAGCAGGCAGCGCCACCGCUCUCCGCGUUUCGGAUGCUACGGGAGUAGCGGUACAAUCUACAGCUCCUCGAGCAGCACCUACUCGUGGAGAGCCAGAUCUUUGACAAGCAGGCGAGCAAGUAGGCCGUCGCCACUAUGGCUGGGGACGAUCCGGGUUUCGUCGAAGAGCAGCGGGUGCUCUAUGAGUCCGUGCAUAGCGCCCGCACCAUCUGGCGCGAGCAUCGGCCUCGUCGGUUCCCUCCUCCUGAGCAAAAAUUAACAACCCACCGGAGACCAUGCUCCGCACCCCGACGAACAAGGAAGGGCCCCACCAACCAGCGCUCACACCACCACCGCCGGAUCCAUGCACGGCUCCACCUACAAGCGUGCUGCAAAUUCCGCAAGCAUUCACCGGCAACCUACAGUUCACCCGACUUACCAAUGACGGCCCACCCCUCCUAUCCAGGCCAGAGCAACCGCCUAUAACACCGGAGUGCGUCCACCCGCUUUAGCCAUGAGAUGAUUCCUUCACUAAGCCGCCGAAGCACAAUUUUCUCCACUUCGAUGGCGAGUGCCCGCGCGUCUGGCUCGACCGUUGCUUGGCAUACUUGUGAGCUCUACUGCGUGCUGCCGCCAAACUAGGUGGCUACCGGGGCGCUCUAUGUGGAGGGCCACGUCGCGCCCUAGCUACAGGCAUUUCGCCAGCAACAUCUAGUGCUGGAUUAGGAGAUGUUCGGCGUGCACUAGAGGAAUUCGGACCAGAGGAAUUCGAAUCCAUGAUGCACAACCUCCUGCAGCUCCGACAGACAGGCAGUGUGGUUGAGGACAUACAACAAUUCAAGGUUUACAUGUAAAAUUUGAUGCUCUGGAUGCCACCCUCAAUCCGAGAUUCUUUGUCACUCAAUUCCCGUUGGGUCUGAAGGACGAAAUGCGCACGACCAUGCACAUUCAGGCACCAACAAGCAUCACUCAUGCAACAGUUUUUGCAUGCAUUCAAGAAGAGGAGCUUGAACACCAGCAUCCCCGUCUACGACUAGCGCCUGCAGGACGGCAACACCUACUGCCAUAUACAUCACCAACACCAGGUCGGCCUCCUACAACAACACCGGCACCUACCGGCCGUAUCCACGCCGCGCGCCAUCGCCGUGCCCAAACCAGCACCAGAUGACAUCUUUGUUUUUAGUCAAUCCCUACAGGAUCAUCUGGAACACCUGCGCACCGUCUUCGCAAUUCUGCGCCAACAUCAACUAUAUGCCAAGGAGUUGAAGUGUUCCUUCGUGCAGCCUCGCAACGAAUACCUGGGACACAUGAUCUCCAAGCAGAGCAUGGCGAUAGACACGAGCAAAACAAGUGCAAUGCGAACGUGGCCUACCCCAACAAAUGCCACACAAUUGCGCAGAUUCCUCAGGCUCACGGGGUACUAUCGAAAAUUCAUCCCCUGCUACGGAAUCAUUGCCAAGCUACUUACAUAGCUCCUCAGCAAGAAAGGAUUUGCUUGGACCGAACAAGCUCAAGCUGCAUUCGAGCUGCUCAAGGAUGCCAAGGUGAACACGCCGGUACUCGCCCUCCCGGAUUUCUAGCGUCCCUUCUCCAUCAAAGGGGAUGCUUGCGACACCAGUGUGGGGGCAGUACUGGUGCGGGACGGCCACCCAAUUGCUUAUCUCAGCAAGGCACUGGGAGUGUGAAAUCAGCGCCUCUCCAUCUACGAGAAGGAAUUCCUCACGAUGAUCAUGGCAAUCAACAAAUGGUGCACCUACUUCCAGCGAGCUCCAUUCGUCAUCGUCAUGGACCACAAGAGCUUGUGCAGUCUGGGCGAGCAGCAGCUUGACACAAAGCUGCAACGCAAGGCGAUGUCCAAGCUCGUAGGGCUCCAAUUUUCCUUCAGGUACCUCCAAUUUUCCUUCAAGUACCUGCGCGGCGUCGACAAUGGCGCGGCGGACACACUCCCGGGUGUUGGACACCUCCUCUCUCGAUGCCUUGUCGAUCUGUCAACCCCAAUGGCUUUAGGAGGUCACCAACUCGUACGAGACUGACGCCAAUGCGCAAGACCCGCUGCAACACCUGGCCAUCUACAGCACCGACGAGCACGGAUACGAGGUAUGCCAGGGCGUCAUCCGCUUCCAUGACAAGCUAUGGAUUGGUAACAACACGGCCCUCCAAACCAAGCCGGUCAACGCCAUCCACGCAAGCGCUGUCAGUGGCCACUCUAGCGUGACGGCGACAUACCAGUGCGUGAAGAACACACUUCGCCUGGCAUGGCCUCAAGCAGGUCGUGGAGGAUUUCGUUCCCAGUGCGCAAUGUGCCAGCACGCCAAGCACAAACACACCAAGACGCGCAGGCUGCUCCAACCCCUUCCCAUGCCCACUGAGCCAUGGCAUGACCUCACGAUGGACUUCAUUGGGGGACUGCCGGCGUUCGAGGGCUACGAGGUCAUCAUGGUCGUCGUGGACCGGUUCACCAAAUACGCACACUUUGUGCCUCUGCGUCACCCCUUCACGGUUGCCACAGUCGCAAUACCUUCUUGGACAAAAUUAUCAAGCUGCACGGCGUUCCACACUCCAGCGUCCCUGAUCGCGAUCGCAUCUACACCAGCAACAUAUGGUGCGCCUCCUUGACGCCGCCGGCACCAAGGUCAAAUAUUCAACGGCGUAUCACCCGUAGACGGAUGGCCAAAGCGAGCGCAUGAACCAGUGUCUCAAGAUGUACUUGUGUUGUGCCAUCCACGACACACCCAAGCAAUGGCCCAAGUGCUGCCGACAGCGAAGUUUUGGUACAAUACAACUUACCAUUCUUCGCUGAACAUUUCUCCCUUCGAAGCAAUGUACGGCAAGGAGCCCAAUUCUGGUGGUUUGCCAACACUCGCCACCAACUUGCCAGAGGAAGCGGGCGAGGAUCUGGAUUGGGCGACACACACUAACAGGCUGCGGGCGCAGCUGGUACGCGCUCAGAACAGGUGCAAGCACAAAGCACACAAGAACACGAGAAAGUGAUCAUUCGUGGAAGGGGAACAAGUACUGCUCAAGCUGCAACCUUACGUUCAGUCAAAGGUGGCCAACCGCCCUUGUCCCAAGCUCGCCUACAAAUUCGUCGGCGCCUACACCAUUCUGCAACACAUCGGUGCCAUGGCGUACAAGCUCCAGCUGCCAGACGACAGUCGCAUCCACCCUGUCUUUCAUGUUUCCCAGCUUAAGCCCUUCACGCCGGAUUACUCACCGGUCUUCUCCGAGCUACCAUGCGCCCCGGACCUCACCGCUGCUUCACACAACCCAUCGCCAUCCUGGAUCGUCAGUUGGUCAAGAAAGGGAGCAGCUCCACUGUGCAGGUGCGCGUGCAAUGGUCGUCACUAUCUCCAGAGUCUGCAACUUGGGAGGAAUACAACAUGCUAUGGCACCGCUACCCAACGGCACCUUCCUGGGAAGACGAGGCUCUCGCUCAAGGAGGGGCAAAUGUCACACCUGGUACCCAUGUAUCGGGGGACAAGUAGGAGGAGAGGAGAGUAUGAGUAGGCUGUAUUGAUGUGGGCUUGAGCCCGUGGACAGUUUGGGCCGCGUGUGUGUGCUUGGACACCGAAUCAGGCAUGAAAUGAGAUAAGUCUGGAAUCCUCUCAUCCCCUUUCGUCUACGUCACCUACUCUGCUCCUCUCCUCACAUCCAAUUCCCCUUCCGUGCGACCGAUCCCCUCUAGGGUUCAUCGGCCCUCACACAGUUCUACACAAAUAGAAAUAGUCACUCUCUAGUUUGUUCUACAAUUACAACAAAAACAAGGAGAACUAAAAUAACUAAAUAAGCAUCAAUUGUUGAGAUCAGAAUACUACUUAUCACUAGAUGUAAUGAGGAACUAAACAAAGUAAGGCUAUUGCUUAUUAAAUGGGGAAUUUGGGGGAAGAUAUUAGUUUACCUGCGUGCUAUGUGUGAUGUGGCUGGCCUCAAUAAAAUUCUGUCCGGCAACCCGGCAGGCAGGGUGGUCAGCGAAGGAGUGCUGGAGCCUUGGGGAGAGGAGACGCAGGAUAGUCGGCCGGCAACACAACGGCACGGCCGCGCGGGCAGUCGUCGCCGAUUGCUUGGGGUGGAGGGAGCAGGGCAGGACCGCCAGGGGGUGGCCCCUGGCUGCGCGAUGCAAGAACCGCGAGGGGGAGAUGACAACUUACGCCGACGCCAGAUCCCUGCGGGCAGGUCGUUACGGUGGCCGGUGGUGCUCCCCCUCCCCGUCCCAGGUCAGCGGCGCGGCUAUGUUCUAGUCCAGAUGGGGAGAGGCGAUCGGGUGCGGGGAGAAUCCUAGCGGGGCUGGAAGGGCGAGGGGAAAGAGAUCGAACCCUGGAAACCCUUCACGCCGAUUCACACCCUUCUCUCGCACACCUCUUAAAAAAAGCGGAUCCUUAAAAUAACCAUCACUUUACGGUUUCACUAGAAAAAAACAUUCCAACCAGUCUCCUUAUUCGCUCUGAAAUCGUAAAAAAUAUG